rnacentral:lncRNA from 1 species
CAAAUGAGCAGUGGAGCAGCUGAGGCCUCACCUGGCCUGUGAUGAGUUCACCUAGUCAGGAAGUCAUGGAGUGCGAUAUGCACCCUCUUUGCAGGUCAAGGACUGCUGGGUGUGGGCACAGGUGUGGGAAGUAGAUGGAGUGUUGAGAUGCACUGGCCCACCCCACCUGGUUCCUGCCCAUGUUAGGCCCCGCAGUGGCUGGGACCCACUCAGAACAAGACUGGGACGGUCUUGGGGGACAGACAGGGAAAAGAUAACCAGCAGCUAUGAGUGCCUCACCCAACUCAGGAAACUGUACCUGGUGAACCAGGACUUCAGUAAGGCCCCAGAAAGCCCCAGGAGCCAGAACCCUGGCAGAGUUGUGAGAGUGCUACAUACUAGGGUUGCACACAACCAACCAUCCCCCUUUUCCCCUGAGACCCCAGAAAGGGCAAGUAGAGUAGGCAGAUAGUGGCAAAGCAGGAAACUAGUCUUGAGAUGAUCCCAGGCUCUCUGUCCCUCCACACUCCAUGUACUGCUCCCAAUGGGGGCCUGAAAUGGUGCUGUUGGGGCCAAACUCAAGAAGACUUGAAAUUCCAGGAGCUAUCUAGAGUCACCUCCUCAUUUCCCUAUCCCUACCCAAAACUGUCUCUCAGUUCCUGGCAUCCCUAAGGCAACAUUAGAAAAGAUCCUCUUCAGAUGGCAGCAGGAACUGUCCCUGCUUCCUGGCUGUGAAGAGUAUUGCCUGUCAAUAUCUGGGGUAAGCAGUCUAUAGUUAGGCUGGGCUUAGCAGAUACAAGAUCAAUGCUCAGAGCCUGGCUUCAACCAGAGGAGACCGUCUCCUGCUCCAGCUAUAGAAAUAGGAGGUAGGGGGUUCUCCCCUCACCCCAAGAGCCAAGGCCAUGCUGAUCUCCUGGUUUUACCUCCUUAUUCCUAAGUUAAUUGGUUCAGGGGCCUAUGAAGAAACUCUGAGCUUGGGAGUCCUGGGGGCAACUGGCCAAGAUGCCCUCUCCCUGCCUCAUGCAAUUCCUCACCCAGGCCUAGCAUCCUAGCUCUCUCUCCCAAGUCCAGCCUCAAAAUGCCUCCCACAGCCAGGCAUCUCCACUCCUUUCCUAGAGGCCAAGGCCCCAACUCAGUUCUCCCUAUCAUCAGCCUCGAACCUGGCUGUGGAAAACCUGAAGAAAGGAGGUUGAGAAAACAGUCCAGUCCCACUGAGAUUGAAAUGUCAUGGGUUAGCUGGAGAGGAAGGUCAAAUCCUAAUAGCAUUUAUGAAAGAUAGCUCCUGGCUUUACCAACCCCAUUGCAAAAGAAACACAGAACUUUCCCCCUCCUCUGGCCUUGUACACACUGUGCUUUUUGUACUGCUGUUCCCCACUUUGUCAAUCUAGUCAAAGCCACAGCCUCAGGCGCAGGACUUGUCUUCUAGAAACAAUUCCUGAUAGUGUUACAAAAAUCAUGCUCAUCAAGAGACCAAGCAUCACUGGGAGAGUUGGAGAAGUCAGGUUUAUUUAUGCUGGUGGACCCAGAUGAGCCAGUGCUCUGAAGUACUGGGCCUGGAGCUGAAGUUACAACCAACAGCGCCACCUCUACAGGAGACUGCUACUAACACCUUUCUAUCACCAGAGGGCAUAAGUGUCCAAUCAACAGCACCACCUCCAUAUGCUGGGAGGCUCCCAACCCCCGCAGUUGAUAGUUGGGAUCCUGAGACAGGAUCUCAAAUAUUAACAUGCCCUGUAUUUGAGGCAGGAGGGCAGCGAAUUCACCAUGCUUUAAAUUUCAAAACAGUGGGCUGGGGAUGUGGCUCAAGCGGUAGCAUGCUCGCCUGGCAUGCAUGCGGCCCAGGUUCGAUCCUCAGCACCACAUACAAAGAUGUUGUGUCCGCCGAUAACUAAAAAAUAAAAAUAUUUAAAAAAAAAAUAAAAUAAAAUAAAAUAAAUUUCAAAACAGUGAAGCAGCUAAAAGAGGCUGUAACAACCUAUGGUCCUCAAGCACCCUUCACUGUAAGCUUGGUCGAAUCCAUUAACAACUUGAACAUGACACCAGCAGAUUGGGCUAAUAUGUGUAAAGCUGUGCUAAAUGGAGGACGAUACCUGUUAUGGAAGGUUGCCAAUGAGGAAUUUUGCAAGGAGAUGGCUAGGCGAAAUGCAGCAGCUGGUUAUCCUCAGAGAAAUCUAGAUAUGUUGUUAGGAAAGGGGCCUUAUGAGGAUCAGCAGCAACAAAUUGCAUAUGAUCCUGGCGUAUACGCACAAAUUGCUGCAGAGGCGGUUAGGGCAUGGAAGACUUUACAAGGACAUGGAGGUUUACAAGGUCAAUUAUCUAAGGUAAUACAAGGAGCUAAUGAAUCUUACUCUGAAUUUGUAGAUAGGCUUAUUCAAACAGCUACCAGAGUUUUUGGGAAUACAGAACAAGCAAUGCCAUUAAUAAAACAACUGGCUUAUGACCAAG